CUUCUAAAGCCGUUAAAAUAAACAUUGCGAAAGGUGUACUAUUGUUUAUAUUUUCUCUGGAAAUGAUACCUCAAAACUAAAAUUUAUUAGAGAUUAUUCAUUAUUAGUUUUGAUUUGUAGCUAACAAGUCACGUUCAAUUUACGCUCUUCUCCCAAACUCGGACUAGUGGUGCACCAAGUUUAAAUUUCUACACGGAAUUCACAUUACUUCAGAUUUUUACAUUAAAGAUGUCAUAUAUUGAAGCUAAAUGGGUGAUUAUCAUAUUGUGCUUGUUGCUCUGUCCUAUGACUAUGAAGAUGGAAGGACAGAACUCAGAAAAUCCUCUUUCUUCCAAUGGGUUUCUCUCUUACAACGCCAGUAAAGCGGCAAUGGAAACUGCAAUUGAGACUUAUAAACAUUCUUUUGGAAUUAAUUUGUGGUAUGAAGCUCAAGUAGUUACCUAUGCUAAUACAGGAGUUUUUUUAUCGGAUAGAACCCGAAUUAUUGCUUUUUUCACUCUUAGUUUGUUUAUAAUUAGUCUCAUAAUAGUAGUAGCACUCUUAGAUUAGUUUAGCCGUAAGGAAAACGUUAACGUUAGCCUAAAAAUAAUGAAUUAAUCAUUCCAGCUCUUCAUAUAACUUUAAACAAUGUUAACUUUUGUGAUAUCAUUGGAAAAAAAAUUAUUUUUUGUA